rnacentral:lncRNA from 1 species
UUAUGAGCCUGUGAACUUACUAAGCUUUCUGUAAGCUUACUGGUGUGUGCCUACUGUUUCUUGUAGAUUGACGUGUAUAUAUAUAUUUCGGAGGAUCGGAUCUACAACAACGAUCACACUAUCCAGAUUUACUCCGGUAGAUUUUGUUAAACAACUUUUUGGAUUUAUAUUGCAUGUAUAGGGAAUUGAAGUAAAAAAGUAUUAGUAUGAAUGACUAAGUAUGCAAAAUAAAUUUGAAUGUUAUGGUUGUGUUAGAU